AUAAAAGACGCUCUCCCUCACGAAUUUGUUAGAGACACGAGUGCUUACGACGACGACGUGGAAAUGGACGGAGAAACAACGACCGCACCAGAGCAACGUUUCGACUGCGUCCAAGAAGAUUGUGUAUUGGUGGAAGAGGCCACACUGGAGCACGUACCUACACCAGUGGAGUUGCUGCUAAGCACCCAAGUGCCUGCGCCGGAACACCUUGAUGAACCGGAAGAGGUGCUGCUGAACAC